CCCUGCCAUUUGUACACACCGCCCGUCGCUACUACCGAUUGAAUGGCUAAGUGAGGCUUUCGGACUGGCUUAGGGAGGGUGGCAACACCCACCCAGAGCCGGAAAGUUAUCCAAACUUGGUCAUUUAGAGGAAGUAAAAGUCGUAACAAG
rnacentral:rRNA from 1 species